rnacentral:rRNA from 1 species
GAUGAACGCUAGCGGCAGGCCUAACACAUGCAAGUCGAGGGAGAAGCCCUUCGGGGCAGCAACCGGCGCACGGGUGCGUAACGCGUAUGCAACCUACCUUUCACAGGGGGAUAGCCCGAAGAAAUUUGGAUUAAUACCCCAUAAUAUUGUUGGAUGGCAUCAUCUGAUAAUUAAAACUGCGGUGGUGAAAGAUGGGCAUGCGUCCUAUUAGCUAGUUGGAGUGGUAACGGCACCCCAAGGCUACGAUAGGUAGGGGUCCUGAGAGGGAGAUCCCCCACACUGGGACUGAGACAGGGACCAGACUCCUACGGGAGGCAGCAGUGAGGAAUAUUGGUCAAUGGUCGGAAGACUGAACCAGCCAUGCCGCGUGCAGGAAGAAUGCCUUAUGGGUUGUAAACUGCUUUUAUAUGGGAAGAAUAAGGUGUACGUGUACAUUGAUGACGGUACCAUAUGAAUAAGCAUCGGCUAACUCCGUG